AUACGGAGGGUGCAAGCGUUACUCGGAAUCACUGGGCGUAAAGCGCGCGCAGGCGGCUAUUUAAGUUGGAUGUGAAAGCCUACGGCUCAACCGUAGAACUGCAUCCAAAACUAUUUAGCUAGAGUGUGGGAGAGGAAGAUGGAAUUAGUUGUGUAGGGGUAAAAUCCGUAGAGAUAACUAGGAAUACCAAAAGCGAAGGCAAUCUUCUGGAACACUACUGACGCUGAGGCACGAAAGCGUGGGGAGCAAACAGGAUUAGAAACCCUAGUAGUCC
rnacentral:rRNA from 1 species